UAAGAUGACGAACAAAUUUUUCAUCUUGUCUGAAUUUUACAGUGAAACAGGAAAAACACAUGGCGUGCAUCAUACUGAUAAGGAUGUUAGGUAAAGAGUUUAAAAGUUUGAAGCGCUGGGAAAAAUUAUCCGAAGGUGUUGGAAAGGAAAAAUGGGGAGUGUGGCGUGGAAGCAGCUUCUUCUGAACGCUUUGGAAUCAAACGCUCACCUCAAGCACUCUUCUUUCAUGCAACUCGCAACCGUAGGAACAAACGGAACACCUUCGAAUCGCACUGUCGUUUUCAGAGGAUUCCAAGAUAAUACUGAUAACAUCCAAAUUAAUACUGAUGCUCGCACUCGCAAGAUUGAAGAGCUCAAGCUUUGCUCCUCUGCUGAGAUUUGUUGGUAUUUCACGGAUUCCUGGGAGCAAUUUCGGAUAAACGGGAAUGUAGAUAUCAUUGAUGGUUCGAAUGCCGAACCCCUAAAACUUCAGCAAAGAGAACAUUCUUGGUUUGCCAGUUCAUUGAGAUCAAGGUCGCAAUAUCUGUGCCCCAACCCUGGACUUCCCUGUCUACAUGAGCAAGCUCAGCCAGAUAUAUCAUUAGAUCCUUCUACAGGUCCAAUUGAUGCUUUUUGCCUUCUGAUCCUAGAGCCGCAUCAGGUUGAUUACUUGAAUCUUAAGAGUAACCAGAGGCUAACAUUCAAAUCAAGUGUGAGUGCUGCAGCAGAGAAAAGCUGGACUGUGGAGAGGGUCAACCCAUAAUCUGUUUUCUGUCAGUGUCGUCUUUGUAUUUCACUGCAGACAACAAAUUGAAUGUUUUGAGGGUAUAUGAGAGAGGAUUUGAGGGAAUGUAUUAGUCAGAUAUUCAUUUUACAAUGGCUGCUGGAUGUUCGUGCAGCCCUUUGAAGGUUGCGCUUGUUCAAUAAGUUUAGUAAGAUUGGGUGUGAAUUAGCCCCGUGCAUAUAGCAUCAUAUCAAUGUAGACAUCUCAAUUGGAACUAGUACAGAGGUGGAACCUUGGAGAGGACGGGAGCCACUAUUUAUCACUUUGAUUUCAAUAACAAACAUGGAGCUAAAGAUCGCUUGACAGGAAGAUCUGAAUCAUCUGCUAUUUUCUAUUUGUUAUGAUCUGCUGGUAGUCUUAACACUGUGGC